GACGAACGCUGGCGGCGUGCCUAAUACAUGCAAGUCGAGCGAAUGGAUUAAGAGCUUGCUCUUAUGAAGUUAGCGGCGGACGGGUGAGUAACACGUGGGUAACCUGCCCAUAAGACUGGGAUAACUCCGGGAAACCGGGGCUAAUACCGGAUAACAUUUUGAACCGCAUGGUUCGAAAUUGAAAGGCGGCUUCGGCUGUCACUUAUGGAUGGACCCGCGUCGCAUUAGCUAGUUGGUGAGGUAACGGCUCACCAAGGCAACGAUGCGUAGCCGACCUGAGAGGGUGAUCGGCAACAAUGGGCCUGAGACACGGCCCAGACUCCUACGGGAGGAAGCAGUAGGGAAUCUUCCGCAAUGGACGAAAGUCUGACGGAGAAACGCCGCGUGAGUGAUGAAGGCUUUCGGGUCGUAAAACUCUGUUGUUAGGGAAGAACAAGUGCUAGUUGAAUAAGCUGGCACCUUGACGGUACCUAACCAGAAAGCCACGGCUAACUACGUGCCAGCCGCCGCCGUAA
rnacentral:rRNA from 1 species